rnacentral:rRNA from 1 species
GAGGAAGGUGGGGAUGACGUCAAAUCAGCACGGCCCUUACGUCCGGGGCUACACACGUGUUACAAUGGGGGGUACAGAAGGCAGCUACACGGCGACGUGGUGCUAAUCCCGAAAGCCUCUCUCAGUUCGGAUUGGAGUCUGCAACCCGACUCCAUGAAGCUGGAUUCGCUAGUAAUCGCGCAUCAGCCACGGCGCGGUGAAUACGUUCCCGGGCCUUGUACACACCGCCCGUCAAGCCAUGAAAGCCGGGGGUACCUGAAGUACGUAACCGCAAGGAGCGUCCUAGGGUAAAACUGGUAA